AGUGAACGCUGGCGGUAGGCCUAACACAUGCAAGUCGAACGGCAGCACAGUAAGAGCUUGCUCUUACGGGUGGCGAGUGGCGGACGGGUGAGGAAUACAUCGGAAUCUACUUUUUCGUGGGGGAUAACGUAGGGAAACUUACGCUAAUACCGCAUACGACCUACGGGUGAAAGCAGGGGAUCUUCGGACCUUGCGCGAUUGAAUGAGCCGAUGUCGGAUUAGCUAGUUGGCGGGGUAAAGGCCCACCAAGGCGACGAUCCGUAGCUGGUCUGAGAGGAUGAUCGGCCACACUGGAACUGAGGCACGGUCCAGGCUCCUGCGGGAGGCAGCGGUGGGGAAUAUUGGACAAUGGGCGCAAGCCUGAUCCAGCCAUACCGCGUGGGUGAAGAAGGCCUUCGGGUUGUAAAGCCCUUUUGUUGGGAAAGAAAAGCAGCAGGUUAAUACCCCGCUGUUCUGACGGUACCCAAAGAAUAAGCACCGGCUAACUUCGUG
rnacentral:rRNA from 1 species